rnacentral:sRNA from 1 species
UCCGCCUGGCUGCACUGCGUGUGUGUGGUGGGCUUCGAUCUGGAGCUGGGCCAGGCCGUGGAGGUAAUUUAUCCUCAGCAUUCCAAACUUACUGACAGAGAAAAAACCAAUAUUUGCUAUUUGUCUUUUCCAGAUUCAAAUUCAGGUUGUCUUGGAGAUACCCAGUUUUGUUUUAGAUUUCGACAGUCUUCUGGGAGGAGGGUGUCGCUGCAUUGUCUCCUGGAUCAAUUUGACAAAGAUAUACCAGUUUACUUAAAGGUUGGAAAAGUAGUCAUAGAAAAAUGUCCAUGUGAGAGGAAACUUUAGAACUCAUUUAUUCGGUUACCUCUACACUAUUCAGAAAUAUUUUGCUUUUGUUUUGCUACUAUAUUAUAUAGCUGAAUUUCCUAAGUGAGUCUUAUUCAUAAGGAUUCAGCAUC